ensembl:lncRNA
GGUGAAGUCAAGAAGCUCGGUUGGGUUGUCUCAUGAUGACUCACAGCAGGACAAUGACGAGGUGUUAUUGACAAGAUGACUCCCCAGGCCACUCAGCUGCUGAGAGACAGCUUGAAGUCCAUCGCCAGAGUGCAGCCUAUGGUGUAUUAUAGCAUAACUGUCCUCAUUUUAACACCUCGGCAGGGACUGCCCAGAACAUCCAUAGUAACAAUGCAUUCGUGGGAAACACCAUUCUUCUAGAGUGUGACAUUCCUGAACCACAGAACAGAGAGAAGCAUUGGCUCCUGAACACAGGGUUUCUCUUCCCACUUUAAACUCUACUCAGAACGUUACUGUGUUUGUGUUUGUCAGCAGAGUCUGAGAAUAAGACGUUGGUGUUGUAAAG